rnacentral:misc_RNA from 1 species
ACAAAUCCCAAUUAAUUUAUGCAUGAACCCCCAACUCUGAAAUCAUUUUACUAUUAAUUAGCAUUUAAUUUCAAUUGCCCAUUAUUUAUUUAGUUCAAUUGCAUCUAGAUUUAAAAUUUAUUUGCUUGCUCUUUAUCUAUUUUGUUUAGAUUUAUCAAUUUUACCUAGUUCAUUUACAUUUACAUCUUACAUUCAUUAAUCAUUGGCCCAAAUAAUCGCUUUAUUCAUAUUUUGGUACUCAAACAGAAAAUCCUCGUGAGAAUGAUACUUGACUUAUCACUUUAUUACUUGAUACGACUCGUAUACUUGUGGAUUCAUGCAUGAAGUUUUUGGCGACAUUGCUGGGGAUUUGAUUUUUGCUCGAUAUUGAACGAUGGUCUGUUUGGUUAAUUUGAGUAUUUUAUUUUAUUUUUAAUUUUUUUAAGUAUGCUUAUGCACUAGCAAUGCAAAAAUAAUUAAUACAAUUUUAAAUGUCAAUUAGCUAUGCCCUUUGCCCUCUGGUCAACCCUCGUGGUUAGUGGAAAGUAUAUCUUCUCCUGUUAAACUCUUUAAUUGCAACUCUUUUUUUUUUUUUUUUUU